UAAAAUUGUCUCUUUUUAGUAUUUGUCCAGCAGGCUUUCUUUAAAAGAAAGCCUAU
rnacentral:snRNA from 1 species